GACGAACCGUCCUAACGUUGUUCGGAAUCACUGGGCUUAAAGGGCGCGUAGGCGGGUCAGCAAGUCCGGGGGUGAAAUCUUUCGGCUUAACCGGAAAAGUGCCUUGGAUACUGCUGGUCUAGAGGGAGGUAGGGGCAUGGUGGAACUUCCGGUGGAGCGGUGAAAUGCGUUGAUAUCGGAAGGAACGCCGGUGGCGAAAGCGACGUGCUGGAUCUCUUCUGACGCUGAGGCGCGAAAGCCAGGGGAGCAAACGGG
rnacentral:rRNA from 1 species